UAACAAGAAUUUCACGUUAAUUAAACCCGCGAAAAAAGAGGUUCAUUAAAAUGCCGAAAGUUCAAUAUAAACAGAAACCGCGUGACACCUGGUUGCGAGAUCCAUCGUUUAAGGAUUGGUUAACAAUAGACCCGAAUGAUGAGUCGAAGUGCUAUUGCAGAUAUUGCAAGUCAAGUAGUUUCAAAAAUUUACGACUUGCAGGGGCAUGCAAAAACAAAAAACAUAUGGUGGCUACAAGCAGCUUGACACAAAAAAAUAAAAUUGUGUUCAUAUCAAAUGUGCUUCCCAAAACUAAACAACAAGAAGCAGCCUUAUGUUUGUAAAUUGCCACCCAUUCUGUAAUUUCACCAAUUGAUCACUUGGGUAUACUAUGCGCCACAAAAUUCGAUGCAGAUAAAAUUAAAGUCCAUAAAACGAAGUGCACGAAUAUAAUAAAAAAUGUUUUGGGACCAUGUUUUCUGGAAGAAUUAAAAACUGAAAUUGGUGACGCCCAAUUCAGUCUAUUGCUGGACUAAAGUACUGAUGUCAGUGUUUGCAAGUCUCUUGGUGUUGUAAUUAAUUAUUUUAGUUCCCACUUGAGGCAGGAGAUUCGAAGACCAUAGCUAACAGCCUCCGUCAAGUGAUAAAAGGAUUAGGACUUAAUAUUUUGAACUUAAUUGGUAUUGGUACAGACAACGCUAGCGUAAUGGUUGGCUCAAAUCAAAGCGUAUUUACUGAAUUGAAGAAGGACGUACCCUCCCUCUUAUUAAUCCAAUGCGUAUGCCAUUCAGUUCAAUUAGCAGAGAAUUCGGCCUGUACAAAGUUUUUGUCUGAAUCUUUGGAAUAUACUGUGUACGAAACCUUUAAUUGGUUCUCGAAAAGCAGUAAACGCCAAUCAUAUUAUCAAAAAAUUUAUGAGUUGAUUAAUAGUGAUAAGGUAAGUUAGAAUAUAUGUUUUAUGUGUUUGAGUACUCAAUACCUAGUUCCUUAAAAUUUGUAUAUGUCUUUUCACAUAUAACUAAUCUGUAUUGUGUUUGUUCAGUCUUGUUUGUAGUCUUGUCUUACUUUGCAGUCUCGUUUCUCUAUAUUCUAACACUUUUUAUCAUAUUUAAGGCACCUCUUAAAAUUCAACAAGUCUGCGAAACACGAUGGCUAUCCAUUGAAUUUGCAGUUGCCAGAAUUUUGCAUCAGUGGAUUAAACUUAAGCUACAUUUUAGUCUUGCAGCAACAAAAGAAAAAUAUUUUAAAGCGUAAAUUGUAGAGCGAUGAAAUUAAUUUGUUAUAUUUGACGUUUUAAAGGCCAGUAUUAAGCGAAAUGCAGGCUAUAAACAAAAAUUUCCAGGCCACCAAUUCAAAUGCAGGCAAACUUUAAACAGAUCUUGUAUUUGGAAUAAAUUCUUUAAAAUCAAAAAUAAUAUCCCCUGAAGACAUAGUUGACGUUCUGAAUACAGAUUUUAAAGGACAUGUCAAGAGGGAUCUGCAUUCGAAAUGUUGCUCAAAAAAAUAAAAGAAAAUAUUUCCGAUGAAAUAGAAAUGGAAAUUCGAUUUAGGUGCACGGAAUUUAUAAUUUCACUUAUAGAUGAGCUUAAACAGAGAUUGUUAGAAAACCACCAAGUAUAAAAGCAAAUCGACAUUUUUUCUGUUGACAAAAUUUUGAAUGCCAAAAAGGGCUCUGUUGUUGAAAUCCUAAACCAUUUCAAAUUGCCUGUCACUCAGAUUGAAGAGCUCGUUCUGUAGUACAAGAACAUACAUCUUUUCAAAUGCGGAUUGUACCUUGAAAUUUUGGGAUAUUGCAAACAAUUAUGUGGAUUCGGGAGGUAAUCACCGUAAAUCAUUAGCUACUUUUGUCUUGAGCUUACUAUCGCUACCGUGGUCAAACGCGGAAGUCAACCGAGUGUUAAGUCAGAUAAACAUUGUAAAAUCAAAGCUGAGGAACUCAAUGAACAUAGACACACUUAAUUCGAUUUUACACAUACGUUAUGGAUUGCGUAGAUCAAAUAAAUGUUGCCACAACUUUGAAGUGCCUCCAAAGUAUUUGACUUUAAUUGGAACAAACAACUCCUAUAAUUAUCAAGCUCAAUAAAGUCGAUAUUCUCCUCAAGAGAGAGGAUAAUGCCAUUUAAUUCCUCAAGAGAGAAUAUCGACUUUAUUGAGCUUGAUGAUUG